GACGAGGGAUCCUAGCGUUGUUCGGAAUCAUUGGGCGUAAAGCGGGUGCAUGUGGCUUUGUAAGUCAGGUGUGAAAUCCCAGGGCUCAACCCUGGAAGUGCAUUUGAUACUGCGAAGCUUGAGUGCUGGAGAGGUAAGUAGAAUUCCUGGUGUAGUGGUGAAAUACGUAGAUAUCAGGAGGAAUACCGGAGGCGAAGGCGGCUUACUGGCCAGACACUGACACUCAGACCCGAAAGCGUGGGGAUCAAACAGG
rnacentral:rRNA from 1 species